rnacentral:rRNA from 1 species
AUGCAGUCGACGCGAAAGCACCUUCGGGUGCAAGUAGAGUGGCGGACGGGUGAGUAACGCGUGGGAAUCUGCCCAGUAGCUGGGGAUAACUCGAGGAAACUCGAGCUAAUACCGAAUACGCCCUACGGGGGAAAGGCUUCGGCCACUAUUGGAUGAGCCCGCGUCAGAUUAGCUAGUUGGUAGGGUAAUGGCCUACCAAGGCGACGAUCUGUAGCUGGUCUGAGAGGACGAACAGCCACACUGGGACUGAGACACGGCCCAGACUCCUACGGGAGGCAGCAGUGGGGAAUAUUGGACAAUGGGCGAAAGCCUGAUCCAGCAAUGCCGCGUGUGUGAAGAAGGCCUGCGGGUUGUAAAGCACUUUCAGUUGGGAAGAUUAUGACGUUACCAACAGAAGAAGCACCGGCUAACUCCGUG